UACGAAGGGGGCUAGCGUUGUUCGGAUUUACUGGGCGUAAAGCGCACGUAGGCGGCUCGUUAAGUCGGGGGUGAAAUCCUGGAGCUCAACUCCAGAACUGCCUUCGAUACUGGCGAUCUUGAGUCCGGAAGAGGUGAGUGGAACUCCUAGUGUAGAGGUGGAAUUCGUAGAUAUUAGGAAGAACACCAGUGGCGAAGGCGGCUCACUGGUCCGGUACUGACGCUGAGGUGCGAAAGCGUGGGGAGCAAGCAGG
rnacentral:rRNA from 1 species